rnacentral:rRNA from 1 species
GCUUAUAAUCGUUCAUUGCAUUCUACUAAUAAGAUGUGCCCUUUUGAAGUUGUGUAUGGUUUCCUACCUCGUGCACCUAUUGAUUUGUUGCCUCUUCCAUCUUCGGAGAAGGAAACAGACCCUCGUGGUCAGGUUGAUCGUGCCCCGAUUGACUUAAUUCCCGGUGCUUCACUGCCAAACCGUGCACCAUACCGUACCAAUCCAGAGGAGACGAAGGAGAUUAUGCGUCAAGUACAAGAGCUUCUCGACAAAGGUUAUAUACGCGAAUCCCUUAGUCCUUGUGCUGUUCCUAUUAUUCUAGUGCCGAAAAAGGAUGGUACAUCACGUAUGUGUGUUGAUUGUAGAGGCAUUAAUAAUAUUACUAUUCGUUAUCGUCAUCCUAUUCCUAGGCUAGAUGAUAUGCUUAAUGAAUUGAGUGGCUCUACAAUAUUCUCCAAAGUUGAUUUGCGUAGUGGCUACCAUCAAAUUCGUAUGAAAUUGGGAGAUGAAUGGAAAACAGCAUUUAAAACUAAGUUUGGAUUAUAUGAGUGGUUAGUCAUGCCUUUUGGGUUAACUAAUGCACCUAGUACUUUCAUGAGAUUAAUGAACGAAGUUUUACGUGCUUUCAUUGGACGAUUUGUGGUAGUUUACUUUGAUGACAUAUUGAUUUAUAGCAGAUCUUUGGAAGAACAUUUGGAACAUUUACGUGCUGUUUUUAUUGCUCUACGUGAUGCACGUUUGUUUGGUAACCUUGGGAAGUGCACCUUUUGCACCGACCGAGUAUCUUUUCUUGGCUAUGUUGUUACUCCACAGGGAAUUGAAGUUGAUAAAGCCAAGAUUGAAUCUAUUGAGAGUUGGCCGCAGCCCAAAACGGUCACACAAGUGAGGAGUUUUCUUGGCCUCGCUGGAUUCUAUAGGCGUUUUGUGAGAGAUUUCAGCACCAUUGCUGCACCUCUCAAUGAGCUUACAAAGAAAGAUGUGCCUUUUCUUUGGGGUACCGCACAGGAAGAAGCCUUCACGGUAUUGAAAGAUAAGUUGACACAUGCUCCUUUACUCCAACUUCCUGAUUUUAAUAAGACUUUUGAGCUUGAAUGUGAUGCUAGUGGAAUUGGAUUAGGCGGUGUGUUAUUACAAGAUGGCAAACCUGUUGCAUACUUUUCUGAAAAAUUGAGUGGGCCUAGUCUGAAUUAUUCUACUUAUGAUAAAGAAUUAUAUGCUCUUGUUCGGACUUUAGAAACAUGGCAACAUUAUUUAUGGCCCAAAGAAUUUGUUAUACAUUCUGAUCAUGAACCUUUGAAACAUAUUAAAAGUCAAGCUAAACUGAACCGUAGACAUGCUAAAUGGGUUGAAUUCAUUGAGACUUUUCCUUAUGUCAUUAAACACAAGAAGGGAAAAGAAAAUGUUAUUGCUGAUGCAUUGUCUCGCCGCUAUACUAUGCUUUCACAACUUGACUUCAAAAUAUUUGGUUUGGAAACCAUCAAAGAUCAAUAUGUGCAUGAUGCUGAUUUUAAAGAUGUAAUGCAGAAUUGUAAAGAAGGAAGAAUGUGGAACAAGUUUGUUGUUAACGAUGGAUUUGUGUUUCGUGCUAACAAGCUAUGCAUUCCAGCUAGCUCCGUUCGUCUUUUGUUGUUGCAGGAGGCGCAUGGAGGAGGAUUAAUGGGACACUUUGGCGUGAAGAAGACGGAGGACAUACUUGCUACACAUUUCUUUUGGCCAAAGAUGAGACGGGAUGUUGAGCGUUUUAUUGCUCGCUGCACUACAUGUCAAAAAGCUAAGUCACGACUCAAUCCUCAUGGUUUAUAUAUGCCUUUGCCUGUACCUAGUGUUCCUUGGGAGGAUAUAUCUAUGGACUUUGUUUUAGGUUUACCUCGAACAAAGAAGGGGAGGGAUAUCAUAUUUGUUGUCGUGGAUAGAUUCUCGAAAAUGGCACACUUUAUACCAUGUCAUAAAAGCGAUGAUGCUGUUAAUGUUGCUGAUUUGUUCUUUCGUGAAAUUAUUCGCUUGCAUGGUGUGCCAAAUACUAUUGUUUCAGAUCGUGAUACUAAAUUUCUUAGCCACUUUUGGAGAUGUUUAUGGGCUAAGUUGGGGACUAAACUGCUUUUUAGUACUACUUGUCACCCCCAAACUGAUGGACAAACUGAAGUAGUCAAUAGAACGUUGUCUACUAUGCUUAGGGCUGUUUUGAAGAAUAAUAAGAAAAUGUGGGAGGAAUGCUUGCCUCAUAUUGAAUUUGCUUAUAAUCGUUCAUUGCAUUCUACUACUAAGAUGUGCCCUUUUGAAGUUGUGUAUGGCUUCCUACCUCGUGCACCUAUUGAUUUGUUGCCUCUUCCAUCUUCGGAGAAGGUUAAUUUUGAUGCUAAACAACGUGCUGAAUUGAUUUUAAAAAUGCAUGAGUUAACUAAGGAAAACAUUGAGCGCAUGAAUGCUAAAUAUAAACUUGCUGGAGAUAAGGGUAGAAAACAUGUUGUGUUUGCACCUGGAGAUCUUGUUUGGUUACAUUUGCGUAAGGAUAGAUUUCCUGAUUUGCGCAAAUCAAAGCUAAUGCCACGUGCUGAUGGUCCCUUUAAGGUGUUAGAGAAAAUAAAUGAUAAUGCAUAUAAACUUGAGCUGCCUGCAGAUUUUGGGGUUAGUCCCACUUUUAACAUUGCAGAUUUGAAGCCUUAUUUGGGUGAGGAAGAU